GCGGGUGUAGUUCAAUGGUAGGAUCCCAGCCUUCCAAGCUGGUCGUGUGGGUUCGAUUCCCAUCACCCGCUCCA
rnacentral:tRNA from 1 species